rnacentral:rRNA from 1 species
GACGAACGCUGGCGGCGUGCCUAAUACAUGCAAGUCGAGCGGGAACCUCGGGAGAGGCAACUCUUCCGAGGGGAGAGCGGCGAACGGGUGAGUAACACGUGGGCAACCUGCCCCGGACACCGGGAUAACUCAGGGAAACCUGGGCUAAUACCGGAUACCUCGGCGCGAUCGCAUGGUCGCGCCGGGAAAGCCCCGACAGUCCGGGAUGGGCCCGCGGCCUAUCAGCUUGUUGGUGGGGUAACGGCCUACCAAGGCGACGACGGGUAGCUGGUCUGAGAGGACGGCCAGCCACACUGGGACUGAGACACGGCCCAGACUCCUACGGGAGGCAGCAGUAGGGAAUCUUGCGCUAAUGCGCGAAAGCGUGACGCAGCGACGCCGCGUGCGGGAUGAAGGCCCUCGGGUCGUAAACCGCUUUCGGCAGGGACGAAGCGAAAGUGACGGUACCUGCAGAAGAAGUCCCGGCUAACUACGUGCCAGCAGCCGCGGUAACACGUAGGGGACGAGCGUUGUCCGGAUUCAUUGGGCGUAAAGCGCGCGUAGGCGGCUCGGAAAGUCGGUCGUGAAAUCCUGGGGCUCAACCCCGGAACUGCGUCCGAUACUUCCGAGCUGGAGGCAGGUAGGGGAGAUCGGAAUUCCUGGUGUAGCGGUGAAAUGCGCAGAUAUCAGGAGGAACACCGGUGGCGAAGGCGGA